rnacentral:lncRNA from 1 species
AAUGGAUGUGACUUUUCAUGCCAUGGACUUGGUGUCAUGGAGCAGCAAGAUCCAUCACGAAGGAAAUGGUUUUUCACCAGUCAAAGUAGCCAACACCCUUGGCUGUGUGAAUUUUGGCUGAGAUGGUGAGGAGUGUUGCCACCCAAGUAUGAUUCCACCGCCAACUCCAUCGAUGUUUCACACUGAGAAUGGGUGAAUGUUUGGAGUAUGGAAAUAAUUCAAGGAACAUAAAUUGAU